UUGGAGGGCAAGUCUGGUGCCAGCAGCCCCGGUAAUUCCAGCUCCAAUAGCGUAUAUUAAAGUUGUUGCAGUUAAAAAGCUCGUAGUUGAAUUUCGGGAUCAAUAUAUCGGUCGUGCCUUGGUACGUACUGGUAUCAUUGGUUUCUCCUUUCUGACGAACCAUGAUGUCAUUAAUUUGGUGUUAUGGGAAGUUAGGACUGUUACUUUGAAAAAAUUAGAGUGUUUAAAGCAGGC
rnacentral:rRNA from 1 species